rnacentral:rRNA from 1 species
GACGUAGGGCGCGAGCGUUGUCCGGAUUUAUUGGGCGUAAAGAGCUCGUAGGCGGUUUGUCACGUCGGAUGUGAAAACCCGAGGCUUAACCUCGGGCCUGCAUUCGAUACGGGCUGACUAGAGUUCGGUAGGGGAGACUGGAAUUCCUGGUGUAGCGGUGAAAUGCGCAGAUAUCAGGAGGAACACCGGUGGCGAAGGCGGGUCUCUGGGCCGAUACUGACGCUGAGGCGCGAAAGCCAGGGGAGCAAACGGG